rnacentral:lncRNA from 1 species
AUGAACUCCUUUUCUUUCUGCUGUUGCCUCGUCAAUGCUUUGUUUGUCUUGUUUUUUCCCUUCAUGGUUAAAUUAAAUAUGGCUUUAAAUUCAGGUUUUUUUUUCCCAUGCACGUACACACUUCAGGCAGAUUGGCUGCUGGAGACCGCCCCCACCCCCCAAAACUGGCACUGGAGUACGUUACUGCCGAGUUACACUUUAACUUCUCUGCAGCAGGAAAAAGGCAUUGCUAAAGGUUGUCCCUCUCUGCAAAUAGAAGCUCGAGUAUACAGUGUUGAGGCUAGAUUUCCACUUUAAUCCCCACCUCCAAGUUUGCCCCGUGAGCCUGAAUUUUGGUGCAGAAUCUGAGAGGUAGGAAUCCUAUCUCUCCUAAGCUCCAGGUGAUCUGAAGGUUGUGUCAAGAAGAAAGGUCUCUGCGUGAAUACAACACAGAGGAAAAAGCCAUUCAGCCUGUGACAGAGCAGGCAGUAGAAGCAGCCAAGCCAGGCAGAGAGAAAAGCUGUGACUGGUGUUUGGAGGCAGGAGCCUGGGACUGAUUAGGUAAGGGGACACAGAGGUUGUGCAGAGAGAGC